rnacentral:tRNA from 1 species
ACAAGCAUGCUGGAAUGGUAAACAGGGACCGCUUAAGAUGGUUUGUCUUAAAGAUUUUCGGGUUCAAGUCCCGAUGCUUGUA